UUUCAUUUUCUCGAGAAAAUUCUUAGUUUUCCUGGAAAUACUUCUCAGAUGAGAGCCGUUAAUGGAGACUCUAGACCUUCCAACAACGCUCUCGACACCAUAAACGCUGCCGCCUCUGCGAUCGCUUACGCCGAGAAUCGUGCUCCUCAAGACACGGUUCAGAAGGGAAGAUGGGGAAGCUGCUGGAGUGUAUACUGGUGUUUUGGACAUCAUAGACACAAAAAGAGAAUUGGGCAUGCAGACCUUGUUCCUGAAACAUCUGCUCCUGGAAAUGAUACUUCUGUAGCUGAAAAUCCAACCCAAGAACCUUCCAUCACACUUCCCUUUGUUGCACCUCCCUC
rnacentral:misc_RNA from 1 species